rnacentral:rRNA from 1 species
AUUGCACGCUGGCGGCAGGCUUAACACAUGCAAGUCGAACGAGUGGCGGACGGGUGAGUAAUGCUUGGGAAUCUAUCUUAUGGAGGGGGAUAACUACGGGAAACUGUAGCUCAUACCGCGUACCAUAGGAUGAGCCCAAGUGGGAUUGGGUAGUGGGUUCGGUAAAGGCUCACCAAGCCGACGAUCUCUAGCUGGUCUGAUAGGAUGACCAGCCACACUGGGACUGUGACACGGCCCAGACUCCUACGGGAGGCAGCAGUGGUGAAUAUUGCGCAAUGGGGGCAACCUGACGCAGCCAUGCCGCGUGAAUGAAGAAGGCCUUCGGGUUGUAAAGUUCUUUCGGUAGCGAGGCGUUAACUACAGAAGAAGCACCGGCUAACGCCGUGCCAGCAGCCGCGGUAAUUC